UACGGGGGGGGCAAGCGUUGUUCGGAAUUACUGGGCGUAAAGGGCCAGUAGGCGGCCAACUAAGUCCGACGUGAAAUCCCCAGGCUUAACCUGGGAACUGCGUCGGAUACUGGAUGGCUUGGAUUCGGGAGAGGAAUGCGGAAUUCCAGGUGUAGCGGUGAAAUGCGUAGAUAUCUGGAGGAACACCGGUGGCGAAGGCGGCAUUCUGGACCGAUAUUGACGCUGAGGAGCGAAAGCCAGGGGAGCAAACGGG
rnacentral:rRNA from 1 species